rnacentral:rRNA from 1 species
UAGGGAAUCUUCGGCAAUGGACGGAAGUCUGACCGAGCAACGCCGCGUGAGUGAAGAAGGUUUUCGGAUCGUAAAGCUCUGUUGUAAGAGAAGAACGAGUGUGAGAGUGGAAAGUUCACACUGUGACGGUAUCUUACCAGAAAGGGACGGCUAACUACGUGCCAGCAGCCGCGGUAAUACGUAGGUCCCGAGCGUUGUCCGGAUUUAUUGGGCGUAAAGCCGUAAAGCGAGCGCAGGCGGUUAGAUAAGUCUGAAGUUAAAGGCUGUGGCUUAACCAUAGUAGGCUUUGGAAACUGUUUAACUUGAGUGCAAGAGGGGAGAGUGGAAUUCCAUGUGUAGCGGUGAAAUGCGUAGAUAUAUGGAGAAACCACCGGUGGCGAAAGCGGCUCUCUGGCUUGUAACUGACGCUGAGGCUCGAAAGCGUGGGGAGCAAACAGGAUUAGAUACCCUGGUAGUCCACGCUGUAAACGAUGAGUGCUAGGUGUUAGACCCUUUCCGGGGUUUAGUGCCGUAGCUAACGCAUUAAGCACUCCGCCUGGGGAGUACGACCGCAAGGUUG